CAGCAGCCGCGGGAAUACGUAGGUGGCAAGCGUUGUCCGGAAUUAUUGGGCGUAAAGGGCUCGCAGGCGGUUUCUUAAGUCUGAUGUGAAAGCCCCCGGCUCAACCGGGGAGGGUCAUUGGAAACUGGGAAACUUGAGUGCAGAAGAGGAGAGUGGAAUUCCACGUGUAGCGGUGAAAUGCGUAGAGAUGCGGAGGAACACCAGUGGCGAAGGCGACUCUCUGGUCUGUAACUGACGCUGAGGAGCGAAAGCGUGGGGAGCGAACAGGAUUAGAUACCCCAGUAGUCCCUGUCUCUUAUAC
rnacentral:rRNA from 1 species